rnacentral:rRNA from 1 species
UACGAAGGGGGCUAGCGUUGCUCGGAAUCACUGGGCGUAAAGCGCACGUAGGCGGCUUCUUAAGUCAGGGGUGAAAUCCUGGAGCUCAACUCCAGAACUGCCUUUGAUACUGAGUAGCUUGAGUCCGGGAGAGGUGAGUGGAACUGCGAGUGUAGAGGUGAAAUUCGUAGAUAUUCGCAAGAACACCAGUGGCGAAGGCGGCUCACUGGCCCGGUACUGACGCUGAGGCACGAAGGCCAGGGGAGCAAACGGG